CGGGGUAGGAGUAACGCGUGAGGAACCUGCCUCAAAGAGGGGGACAACAGUUGGAAACGACUGCUAAUACCGCAUAAGCCCACGGCUCGGCAUCGAGCAGAGGGAAAAAGAGUGAUCCGCUUUGAGAUGGCCUCGCGUCCGAUUAGCUAGUUGGUGAGGUAACGGCCCACCAAGGCGACGAUCGGUAGCCGGACUGAGAGGUUGAACGGCCACAUUGGGACUGAGACACGGCCCAG
rnacentral:rRNA from 1 species